CACGUAGGGGGCGAGCGUUGUCCGGAUUUAUUGGGCGUAAAGAGCUCGUAGGCGGCUCGGUAAGUCAGGUGUGAAAACUCUAGGCUCAACCUAGAGACGCCACCUGAUACUGCUGUGGCUAGAGUCCGGUAGGGGAGCAUGGAAUUCCUGGUGUAGCGGUGAAAUGCGCAGAUAUCAGGAGGAACACCGGUGGCGAAGGCGGGUCUCUGGGCCGUAACUGACGCUGAGGAGCGAAAGCAUGGGGAGCGAACAGG
rnacentral:rRNA from 1 species